rnacentral:rRNA from 1 species
GAAACAGCCAACCAGCACUCCAUAGUAAAUUCCACAUCAAAACACACCGACCCUGAUCCUUGUAUCGCCUCAAAACUAUACAACAAACAAAACAGUAACACAACUGUUGGCAACGGAUCACUCGGCUCUCGUGUCGAUGAAGAGCGUAGCGAAUUGCAAAAAGUAAUGCGAUCUGCAACCAUCGUGAAUCAUUGAAUUCUUGAACGCACCUGGCACCUUUUGGGUCUUCCAAAAGGUCAGCCUGGGUGAGUAUUGACUUGUUAAUUUCAGGUGAAAACUUGGAUGUGGGCCUAUUUGCUGCCUCGCAGUAAUGGCCUGAAAUGGAUACGCCAGUGGGAAGGUAGUGCUUAUUCUACUCAACCAGACUCUUGCGUUUGCCUCGGAUGUUUUCAAUCGGACCAUGGUCAGGUCUGUUGCUGUGCCUUGCGCGCAGGGAACAUCGGAUACGGCUGCAAUUGACUGGGGAAUUGGCCAGUGCAUCUCGCACGCUUUCCCUUGCUGUUUUCAGCUACAUUUGGCACGACGUUGGCUGCUUCCUCGGAAUCAGUCGGCAUGGUAUGCAGACCCCCGGCUUUUGCCCAACUCUUCACACCAACGACCACCUUUCNUCAUCAAUCUCACCUCAGGCUGGACUACCCGCUGAACUUAAGCAUAUCAAUAAGCGGGA